rnacentral:lncRNA from 1 species
GUGGUGAUUGGUAAGAGGAAAAAUGAAAAAAGAUAAUAAGGUAAGUGAAUUGACAAAAUCAUCCUAUUGCAUAGGAGAAGUUGUCUGAAUUUGACCAACUUAACAAUCUAAGGUUUAAUUUGAAACAUUAACAGAUCAGGGUCUACUUUGCUAUCAAGACCAAAUUCUGGGGCUUAUCAUAUAAUUCCGUUAAUAUUUUUCUUUCUGAAUCUCCACCUGGCCGAAUACGAGAGCCAGCUAAGUUUCUUGUUUUAAUCAAUUCCUUUUUGCUCUUUACAAAAAAUAACCGUUCAUUUCUUGUUAACAAAAAAUAAUAUUUUCUUCAGUUUUCUUGUUACAAAAUAAUAUUUCUCAUUUUUCCUGUUCAAAAAAUAUAUAUUUUUUUAACUACCCAUGUGAAACAGAACUGGACCCAUCUCAAAAUUUCCUUAUUUUCUUUACUAAAAAAAACGUUUUUCCUCUUUCUCCAAAUCCUCGAGUGAUUUUGAAACCGAAACGUUUCUUAUUUUAAUUUCGUCAUUUUUUCGCUUUUUAAUAUCCUAAAAAUACCCAUUCAACGGGGAAUCCGGAUUUGUUGAGUUAGUUAGUCAACUUCUCACUCCUCACCCAUGCAUUUGAUGCUAUAUAUGCCGGUUAGAAUGCACAAAAAAGUCUUAGAUUCAUGCCAUCGUCACAAUAGCUACCUUUAGAAGUUUAAAACCGCACGCUCCACUAAAAUUCCCCGUACAGACGUAACCUUCUUUCUUCCAUAUCUGCAAAUCAAGGUAAAGUAACUUUAUCUCCUUAGGUUUAUCAUUUUUUUUUUUUUCACUUUCGGCCUUAAAGUUACUUUUUAAAUGUUUUUUCUAGAUUGAUCCACCGCCAACUUUUCGUUAAUAUUGGAUGGAUGGUGACAGUAAUCACCUAUUCAGGUCUUACUUCAAUCACUCAACUCAAAAACCAAAUCCACAAAUCCAAGUCCAAACACCAAAAUACUCAAAUCCCAAAACUAAAAUACGACAAAAACCCAAACCAAUCCCUCCAAUCCUCAUUUUUUUUUUAUAUAUUCAUGUCCUCUCUACUAACCACCCUUCCAUGCUUCUAACCUCGCACCAUUAAUUAGCCGUCGUUCCCACAUUUGCCUCCUUCCCCUGUUCACCUACGCCAUCAAUUGACCAACCAUCCACCGACAUCCAUCCCCCCCUUGUUUUUUUUCUUCUCCACUGGAUAGCCAGAUCUCAUAAUACAAAGUUGAUAGUCAAUGUAGUGUGAAGGCCUUUAAGGGGUAAAUUUAUCUAUGUCUUAUUUUGGUCCAAAUAGAUUUGGAUGAAAUAUUGAGUGGAUAUCCAUUGGAGAUUGCCAUUACCGCAGAUGUUUGUAAGUAUAAAAAUGCCUUAAAUUUCUAGACACCUCCCCAACUAUACUUUGGUCAUUUUUAUUUUCAAAUAUUUUGGGGAUGUCUGGGAAAUUAGUCAUUUACAACUAAGAAAGGUUGUAACUUGGUGACUUAAAUUUUUUUUUGAGUUUACGAGGUAUAUAAUAAAAAAAUGGAUAGUUUGAAGGGUUCAUUUGUAAUAACCCAUGCUAUGACAAGGCUUUUGAAAUAGGAAAUCUAUUGGCCCGAAGAUUACAGGUGUGGUUGACAUUGUUUGGUUGCGUCAUUUUAAUGAAACUGCAUCGUUUAUCAUUAAACGUGAGUUGGCCUGAUCUGGGACCCUUCCCUUAACAAUCUGCAGAAUUGUAUGGAAUCAAAUCAUGGGCGUUGAGGGGCAAUCCCGAAUUUAUUGAACUACUCCACCAACGUAACUUCACAGAAGCAAUUUCCCCGAAAUCUCGGUGAUAUCUUUUUUUCUUGAUCAUGGUUGAAAAGGAAACCACCUAAUGCUAUAUAUACCCUGUUGGGAUCCAGCCCAAUGAAGAAAUUUGAAGUGCCCAACCCGUGAGCCCAAGAACCAUCCCAAUAGCCAAGAGAAGGCCCAAGCCCAUAUGAAUAGUGAUAUGAAUAAUGUCAUAUUGCGCAGAGAAGAAAGAGAUAAGAGCAGAAGAGUGAGAAGAGCAAGAAGAGAGAGAGGCUCUGACAGUUUCUGUUCAGAGAAGAGGCUGCCGAAGAAGUCCAAGAUGGAGGCACCUCUCUUCCUCGAAAGUCUCAAUGGUGGGCAUGAGCUCAUGGCUGAGCUCAUUUUCUCUGCUUCUGAGCCACUAUAAUUGAGAAGGUUUGCGCCAGAGAGAGGAAAACAGGCGGAGCAGAAAUGUAAUCUUUGGGGGAUUACACUCUGGCUCACACCUCAUGUUUACUGUGUGCAGAGAGGGGCUUGAGAGGUGAGCUAUGUAUUGGGGGAGUAGGUUCAAUAAUAUUCCCUCUAACCAUAGAGAAGAUAACAGCAGUGGAAGAAACCUUCGCAAGACACCCCGUCGGGAAUGGCUUGGCGGCGACGCUAAGAUGCUUGAAGAGAGAGAGCGCUUAAGAUGAAUCGAUUCUAUGGGCGGCAGAAGAUUUUGCCAAGAAGAGGAAGAAUUUGGUUCCUAUGAGAUUUGUCGGAGGAGGAUGUAAGAAUUGCGAGGAGAGAUGACUACUGAAGAAUCAGGACCCGAAAGAAGCAUAUCCGUGUAUCUCACAAGUGUCACGUAAAGGGCUGGAAAAAAAACGAAGCAAUUGCAAUCAAUACAUACAGCCCUCACUGUUUAUGGAGAGAAUGUCUGAACUUAUGCUCGAUUCUAACAAGCCUAUAUUAAUUCUUCACGACACCCAUCGGUAUGCCUGAUUAUAAGUUCAUGCAUAUCUUUAUGCAAGAAGAAACAGGGGUUUAAUUUUAUUCUAAUAAUUGUUUAUUGUUUUUCUCUAACGAUUAGGUUUAAAUUUACAGCACUGUUUAUUUCGUUGGAUUUAUGAUUCGGUAGCUAGGUUUAUGAUAUUUUUUGAGAUUUACAAUGGUGUUUCAUUGGUUUAUAUUUUGUUCUAUAUUUACUUUGCCAUUGGCUUUGCAUGGGAUGUGGAGCGGUUCCAGUAGAGACUAUACGGUUUGAUUUGUAUAGUUGUUUUUUAUGUGUAGGAUCGUUUCAUGAAUGCUGUAUUUGGUCAUGGAUUUGUGGGUUAUGAAGAGAAAAGAAAAGUCCCCCGUCUUUUUUUAUUUUUCUCAUAAAUCCCUUCCUAAAUUCCAUCCAAAUAAGCUUCAUGUCCAUAUUGUCCUCCUUUUUCUUUUUGCAAUAAAAUUAAAUUUUUGAGGAGAGGGUAUUCGUUAUUCUCUCUCACACCCAGCUAUAUAUUUGGUAAAUCUUACUCCUUCUUUUUGUUUGUUCUCAGGGUAACAGGAAUCUGAUCAUUUAUAAUUUCGUGAUUGCAAAUCGGAAAAAUGGUUGGUAAUAAUGCUUGUUAUGCCACUGUAUCUUGCAUUUAUUUAUAUGCAUGAUUGUAUUAUAUUUUUAAUAGGCCCAUGGAUUUUUUAACAUAAUGGUGCUUGAUGGUGUUUGCAACUUUUGCAUUUAAGCCCACCCUAAAAUAAGAGGAAAAAAGUUUAUUAGAUAUUGUUAAGGGAUUUAUUAAAAUACCAUUCAAGAUAUGUUAGUUUUCAUUUCUACUUCAUGGACUUUCAAUGUGAGUCAAUAAUAUUCCACCAAAAAUCUAGGAUAUAGAUAACUGCAUCAACUUAGGUUUGAAAUCCACAAAUUUAGGGGAACGUUUGAAAACGUGGAUUAAACUACAUCAAACUAGUUUUGAAAUCUACAAAUCAGGGAACGUGGGUUAAGAAUGGCUUUAAAUUGCAGUUUUUGGAAUGAAAACAUCUCCUACUUUCUACGCUUUAAAAAGAAAUGACUUUGAUGGGAAAGGACGUUUUUAAUACACGCAGGCGAGUUAUUCAAAAAGGUUCCUAAAGCUGGCUCUUCAUUCUAGAUUUAAAAUUAUUCACCAUCAGUGUGAGUGAAGGAGAAGAGAAAAGGAUUUAGAAGUCCUUUUCGAAAACUGAAAACACAGAAUAGCAAUGGCUUUGGGGGGGAGGUAUACGUUCUUUCGAUUCGAUUAUCCGAUUUAUGCUUCCGCCGUUAAUCGAAUUUUAAUAUGUUUGUUGGAGUUAAAAAUGUUUAGAUCGCUUUAUCUUCAUUUACUUUUGGUAUAUCAGAGCUAUGUUAACUCUGCCUUGCAUAUUUUGGUCUCUACAAUUUCUUUUAGAAAAUUAUGCAUGUUUAUGUAAUUUUUCUUACUCUCAAAUCUUUGUUUUGAUGAAAAAAAAAGAUUUAAAAUCAAUUAAAAAAUUGGAUUUCUAAUCUUUGGUUUUUUUGGAUUUGAAGAGCGUAAUUUUUUGGCUCCGGAGGUGAAGAAAAGAAUCAUGGGUUUCUAUUUAGGGGGAAGGGGGGGGAAAAAAAAAAAGGGGAAAAAAAAAAGCGAAAAAACAAACAAAAAAAAAAAUAAAAAAAAAGAAAAAAAGAAAAAAAAUGGAAAAAAAGGGAAAAAAAAAAAAAAAAAGAAAAAAAAAAAAAAAAAAAAAAAAAAAAAAAAAAAAAAAAAAAAAAAAAAAAAAAAAAAAAAAAAAAAAAAAAAAAAAAAAAAAAAAAAAAAAAAAAAAAAAAAAAAAAAAAAAAAAAAAAAAAAAAAAAAAAAAAAAAAAAAAAAAAAAAAAAAAAAAAAAAAAAAAAAAAAAAAAAAAAAAAAAAAAAAAAAAAAUAAAAAAAAAGGGG